UAAGGAUUCCGACGUUAGCCCG
rnacentral:siRNA from 1 species